GCUCCUACCGAUUGAGUGAUCCGGUGAAUAAUUCGGACUGCAGCAGUGUUCAGUUCUUGAACAUUGCAGUGGAAAGUUUAAUGAACCUUAUCACUUAGAGGAAGUAGAAGUCGUAACAAGGUUUCCGUAG
rnacentral:rRNA from 1 species